UACGUAGGGUGCAAGCGUUGUCCGGAAUUAUUGGGCGUAAAGAGCUCGUAGGCGGUCUGUCGCGUCGGCUGUGAAAUCCCGAGGCUCAACCUCGGGUCUGCAGUCGAUACGGGCAAACUAGAGUAUUGCAGGGGAGACUGGAAUUCCUGGUGUAGCGGUGAAAUGCGCAGAUAUCAGGAGGAACACCGGUGGCGAAGGCGGGUCUCUGGGCAAUAACUGACGCUGGAGGAGCGAAAGCGUGGGGAGCGAACAGG
rnacentral:rRNA from 1 species